UGCGUAGGCGGCUCUAUAAGUCAGUAGUGAAAUCUCGAAGCUCAACUUCGAACGUGCUAUUGAAACUGUAGAGCUUGAGUACAGACGAGGCAGGCGGAAUGUGUUGUGUAGCGGUGAAAUGCUUAGAUAUAACACAGAACACCGAUAGCGAAGGCAGCUUGCCAGACUGUAACUGACGCUGAGGCACGAAAGCGUGGGGAGCGAACAGGAUUAGAUACCCUGGUAGUCC
rnacentral:rRNA from 1 species